rnacentral:rRNA from 1 species
GACGAACGCUGGCGGCGUGCCUAAUACAUGCAAGUAGAACGCACAGUUUAUACCGUAGCUUGCUACACCAUAGACUGUGAGUUGCGAACGGGUGAGUAACGCGUAGGUAACCUGCCUGGUAGCGGGGGAUAACUAUUGGACACGAUAGCUAAUACCGCAUAAUAUUAAUUAUUGCAUGAUAAUUAAUUGAAAGGUGCAAUUGCACCACUACCAGAUGGACCUGCGUUGUAUUAGCUAGUAGGUGAGGUAACGGCGCACCUAGGCGACGAUACAUAGCCGACCUGUGAGGGUGAGCGGCCACACUGGGACUGAGACACGGCCCAGACUCCUACGGGAGGCAGCAGUAGGGGAUCUUCGGCGAUGGACGAAAGUCUGACCGAGCAACGCCGCGUGAGUGAAGAAGGUUUUCGGAUCGUAAAGCUCUGUUGUAAGAGAAGAGCGGGUGUGAGAGUGGAAAGUUCACACUGUGACGGUAUCUUACCAGAAAGGGACGGCUAACUACGUG